rnacentral:lncRNA from 1 species
UUUGAGGACGACCCGUUGGUGGAGAUGAGGACGUUAACCUACGAGACGCCCCAGGGUACGAAGCCCUCCCUUCCUGUUGGCACUGGGCCAGAACAGUGGGCCUAGAAUUUGCAAUGCUGCAUUUGUCCCCCUUGCUCCUAGGGACCUUGAAUCCCUGAGUUGCUGAUUUCCAAUUUAAUUUCUCUGAAAGAAAUGCCUGGAGACACAGUGCAGCCUGGUUUUUUAAAAUGCCUGGCAUGGAAGUUCGAGCUAAUUGAUUAGCGGUACAAGUGACUCUGUAAAAUAAGGAUGUUGACAAUCAUGGGUAAGCCGUAUGGUUGUGUAUAACAUCACCAGAGUACCUGUCAGGCCAUUGGAACAGCACCCAGGACUGCUCCGCUCUCAUGGGCUUUGCUGUAUAAAUGUAGACCCAUCUGUUUUGGACAGUCCCCAUUAUCUGCCACCUCUGACGCAUUUUAUUUAAUGUUGUGAGUGUACUUACUACCUUAAACCUCAUCGGUUCUCUAACUGGGAUAAGUUUGUUAUUUGAUGAGGUCGUAUCCUUCCCUAAGACCCAUCCCUGAUGUUUGUCUGAAUUUAUUGAUAAAAUCGGAUUUCGGAUCACAGUCUGCCAGGGGUCUACAAGUGCAGUCUGUCUUUUGUCUUAUUGGCUGUUCAGGGCACGUGUUGGGUAAGCAUUUUAAAUAAGCAGAAACUGAACUAAUUCUACAAAGAGGUUGCUUUUCUCUGGAUGGGAUCAGGACACAGCAAUAUAGGAAUCCAUAAGUGUGCUGUCUGACUCUUGGCUUUUCUGUGCUCUUGCGGCUGUUUGUGAAGGGGUAGGCAGUGUCUGGAGUAUUUUGGACUGCCCAUCUGUCUUCAAUGAUAUAUUCUGUCAGUGAUAUAUAACUGAUGUCAGUUAUAUGAGAACAGUGAAGUUGCUGAAGAGUUUGAGACUAUACAAGUUGGUAUAAGAGCCCUCCCUGAGGUCUGGCCAACACAUAGACACCUAGGGCUGCAGUUGUCGGUUAACAAAUCUAUGUCCUAGCAAGCUUGCCAUGAAUCCCUCAUCUUGUUGAUUGUUCUGAGAGACACGUUUUUGGCGCGGCCUUUCCUAACAUGCAGUAGACUGAAGUCCAGAUUUAAGGUGGAGACUGGAGCAGAGAGCUAACUGCAGAGAACAGGAGGGAAUCAUUUGUGUGUGUUGACAGUUCACCUGGGCAUGCACUUAGCACGUAUUGUAGAGUUCAGUUUCAAACAUGCAACAUUAGCACUUUAUGCGAUUAAAUGUAGAAUUCCACGGAGAGGGCCAUUCAGCAAAGCCUUGAUUUGACUUAGCCGUUGUAGUUGAGCAUCAGUGUCCUCUGGAAAGGUCAUGUCCCACAGUGGUCAGUGCUAUCAGACCUCCCAGAAUUCACAUGCUGGUUCCACUUCAUGAGCAGAGAGCUGGGUUAGUCAUCUGAACUUUCCUCUUCGCAUAUCUGUCUGUACAGUGGACAUGGUAAGUCUGUCCUGUGGGCUUUUAAGAGGGUAUGGGAGUUACAUGCCACACGGGUUGCAAAUACGAAACGGUGUGUCCUUGCUAAAACCUGGAGCAUAGAGGGUGCUGUGUAAUUUAUUUUUUCUGUUUCUGUUAUAAUAAUAUAAUCUGAAAUCUCCAGACCCACCAUUUUUCUAAGUAACUUGUGUUUUCCUUGAGGGAUUUAGAAGGACUGAGUGUACCUCACUGGUUCUGCUAGCUGGGGGGUGACGGGGCUGAUGCGCUCCUUCAAGCUCCAGAGUUCUCUGUACGUGGGCUUCUCUGUCCUGGGCUUCUAGAUCGCCCUAGGAAAGCACUGACUCCCAAGAUGAGGUUAAAUGUAUGCUACGUGUCUCCCCCUACCUCCCAAAUAUAUAACUUAAGAACAGUAUGUAUUUGGAAUAUGAGCUGUGUUAGCCCCUCAGGUACAUGGUGGAAUUGGGUGACCUGCUGCCUUCUGGGUAGGAGAGACUGCCAUUAGUGACAAGUUUGUCCAAUCUUGGUUUUUUUAAAAACUUUCUCCUUCACCAAACUGACUGACGGCGCUGCCAAUGCCUGGAUUGCUCUGAACGCUUGCUUGCCUUUCGCUUCCUUCGCUUUGGUUUCCCAUCAAAGCGUUUUAAGCGGAAAUGCGAGCAUUUCAGAUUGCUUCUUC